rnacentral:rRNA from 1 species
UACGUAGGGUGCAAGCGUUAAUCGGAAUUACUGGGCGUAAAGCGUGCGCAGGCGGUUUUGCAAGACAGAUGUGAAAUCCCCGGGCUUAACCUGGGAACUGCAUUUGUGACUGCAAGGCUAGAGUGUGUCAGAGGGAGGUGGAAUUCCGCGUGUAGCAGUGAAAUGCGUAGAGUAUGCGGAGGAACACCGAUGGCGAAGGCA